rnacentral:lncRNA from 1 species
GAGGGUGGUGAUAAGAGUAUUGAUGUUGAUAGUAAUGAGUACAUUGCCAUAAGACAAGAAAUGAAUGGAGCAUACUGCCAUAGGCAUCUCAAUGCUCAAUUAAGAGUGAAUCGUGGAGUAAGGUUGAAGGAAUCGAGAAGCGAGUUGGAGGUCAAUAAAUGCCCAAUGAAGCUUGAGUUGUAUAAGGUUGAGGGAUUCAGUGUAUUGAGCAAAACCAAGUUAGAACUUGAAUUAUUGAUAUUACAAAUAGAUGAUCAAGUU